UACGUAGGGGGCAAGCGUUGUCCGGAUUCAUUGGGCGUAAAGAGCGUGUAGGCGGCCAGGUAGGUCGGUUGUGAAAACUGGAGGCUACAUCCUCAGACGUCGACCGAAACCAUCUGGCUAGAGUCCGGGAGAGGAGAGUGGAAUUCCUGGUGUAGCGGUGAAAUGCGCAGAUAUCAGGAAGAACACCCGUGGCGAAAGCGGCUCUCUGGAACGGUACUGACGCUGAGACGCGAAAGCGUGGGGAGCGAACAGG
rnacentral:rRNA from 1 species